CCUACGGGAGGCUGCAGUCGAGAAUCAUUCACAAUGGGGGAAACCCUGAUGGUGCGACGCCGCGUGGGGGAAUGAAGGUCUUCGGAUUGUAAACCCCUGUCAUGUGGGAGCAAAUUAAAAAGAUAGUACCACAAGAGGAAGAGACGGCUAACUCUGUGCCAGCAGCCGCGGUAAUACAGAGGUCUCAAGCGUUGUUCGGAAUCACUGGGCGUAAAGGGUGCGUAGGCGGGUUCGUAAGUCGUGUGUGAAAGGCGCGGGCUCAACCCGCGGACGGCACAUGAUACUGGGAGACUAGAGUAAUGGAGAGGGAAGCGGAAUUCUCGGUGUAGCAGUGAAAUGCGUAGAUAUCGAGAGGAACACUCGUGGCGAAGGCGGGUUCCUGGACAUUAACUGACGCUGAGGCACGAAGGCCAGGGGAGCGAAAGGGAUUAGAUACCCGAGUAGUC
rnacentral:rRNA from 1 species